AUUUUUCAAAUGGUUCAAGAUGGGCCAAUGAAUAUUGUAUGUAAAAGUAUGUGAGGGUUAAAAAAAAGAAAGCAUUUGCUUACUAAAGAUUUGGAACUAAAAAGAUGUUUGAGAUGAGCAACUCCUUUUCUGUACCAGUGUAUCUUAUCGUGGCACACUCAAGAGAGUCCAUCGUCCCCUUUUCUGCCGCGACGCCCCCUCCUUUUGUCAGUGACGCCAUCGUUGUUUGGUCAGUCACGUCAUCGUCUUCCCUUUUCAAGGAUGCAGCCGCUCCCUCUUCUCAUCAGCUGAGUUCAUAGCCUUCGAGGGUUUAAUGGGUGCCAUGCUCAAAUAUAAAUAGUGCAUUCAGGGUUUUGAUCCCCAAUAUACCAAAGCCGCCUCAACAACUUUUUUCUUAUCAGAGAAGUUACAAUUCAGCCGCCUAGGAAUACAGAAGGCUUUGGUUGAGGAAGAUCGAAAGAACCACAAGAUCCAAACUCUUCCAAUCAUGAUUCAUGUUUAUGAAUUUAGGGUGUAUGCUAGAAUGGAAAAGGAAGAUGUCGUCUCCUAUUUUCAUGGUGCAGCGGCUAUGGCUGACAAAGAUUUGUAUGUCGGCGACGAAGAAGAACUCGUUUCCGAUGACCCAGAUGUUUGUCUAGGUGAUGAACCUUCAUCGGAGGUAGGUGAGGAUGCGAAUAUAGAGGGUUUCUAGCGAUAAUGUUGGUGAUGAUUUUUACAAAAACUGGGAAAACAGAGGCAUUGACAGGAUUGCUGAUUUUGAAUUAACUUUAAAGAAAUAACUUUUGAUCAGAUGAGAUUGCUACAUUUUUCUGAUUGACAUGUGAUAAACCCCAAUUUUGUGGUUUAUAUUGUGUAGAAUUUGGGGGGUUUUAUCAAUAUUUCUUACACUUAUUCACAAGAACUGCAUGGUUUGUUGUUC